rnacentral:rRNA from 1 species
GGGUUGUGAGGUUAAGCGACUAAGCGUACACGGUGGAUGCCUAGGCAGUCAGAGGCGAUGAAGGGCGUGCUAAUCUGCGAUAAGCGUCGGUAAGCUGAUAUGAAGCGUUAUACCCGACGUAAGCGUACACGGUGGAUGCCUAGGCAGUCAGAGGCGAUGAAGGGCGUGCUAAUCUGCGAUAAGCGUCGGUAAGCUGAUAUGAAGCGUUAUCCCCGACGAUACCCGAAUGGGGAAACCCAGUGUGUUUCGAUACACUAUCAUGACAUGAAUACAUAGUGUCAUGAGGCGAACCGGGGGAACUGAAACAUCUCAGUACC